rnacentral:rRNA from 1 species
UACGUAGGCGGAAAAUUAAGUCAGUAGUGAAAUCCUGCAGCUUAACUGUAGAACUGUUAUUGAUACUGGUUUUCUUGAAUAUAGUUGAGGUAGGCGGAAUGUGUAAUGUAGCGGUGAAAUGCUUAGAUAUUACACAGAACACCGAUUGCGAAGGCAGCUUACUAAACUAUGAUUGACGCUGAGGCACGAAAGCGUGGGGAGCGAACAGGAUUAGAUACCCUGGUAGUC